UUGUUCCGGCGUUCUCUCGACUAUCACAAAACGAAUCCGACAAGCAUCCCAUUCCGUCAACGACAAAGCCUUUGAAAUUGGAAAGUGUUAUUCGACCUUACCACUACGCUGUUGUCGUGACCGUUAAUUUCCGAAUCGGUGAAGCCUUCCACUCCCAUCACAAACAUAGGCUGCACAAACGGUUUGGUCUUCUAAAAAACUUCUUCGGGAUUUGAAAUUGAAAAGUGGUAUCAAAUUUGUGGUAUAAUUACAAUUUCCCCAUAAAUAUAUAAAUAAAUAGUUUCA
rnacentral:lncRNA from 1 species